rnacentral:lncRNA from 1 species
GGACACAGUUAAAUGACUAUGGUCAGGAUGGAGCAGAGCUACUACUGAAAGGGCUGACUGUGGCUGAUUUUCGAGAGGGGACACAGAAAGUGAUGCAUGGUGAAGAGCCACCACCUUGGUGAAGGACAAAGAGAGAAAAUGCUGUGUUGAGUUUUCUAGGUUGUAUUCAUUUCAUCACUGAUCGAAUGAUUGACAGCAACAAUAAGAGGAAGGAUUUAAUUGGCUCAAAGUUCAAGGGAUAUCAGUCCAUUAUGAAGGUGAAACAGGAAUCUAUGGCUAUGUGUGUAGUGGAAGGAACUUUGGCCUGUUCAUGACAACCCAGAAGCAAAGAGCAGAGGGCCAAGAGCAAGGUCAGUAUUACAACCUUCAAAGGCCCACCCUCAACCAGUCAGGUCCUACCUCCCAACGCUUCCACAUCUGAUGGUGGAACUCCUUCUAUGUAAAUGUUUGUCUUAUUGGUUGAUAAAUAAAGCACUGCUGGCCAAUAGGCAAGCAAGAUAGGUGGGACUAGGGUUCAAAGAGAAUUCUGGGAAAUGUAGUAAAGAGAAGUUGGUUGUUCCAGUGUGAAAAAGCAGAUUACUCUGUUCUGAACUUCACUGCCAAGGAGCAAAGUUGACGUCAUUAAAAAGCUGAUAUCAGAGAGACACAGGUUUUUAUAGUCAGUUAUUAUAAGUUUUCCUUUGUCCAUUUUGGUUUUGUGUUUGCUUUGUUUUGAGAAAUGUGCCAAGAAAUUCUAAACUCAGGCUUCUUUUAUUCCUAACAUUUUCCUUUCAUUUUUACAUCAAGGACAAUGUUGGAAACAAAGCAAGAAUUCUAUAAGAAGAAUCUACAGGUAUCCUCAGAUCACUGCUCAGCUUUACUUCAGAAUAUUUUCAGUCCCCUAAAAGAAGUAAAGCAGGGCAUUUAUUCUAAACCAGGAGGACACCGUCUUUUUAUCCAGAAGAAACUGGAGUUGAAAAAAAAAAGUACUAUGAGGAACCCAGGAAGGGAGCUCAGGCUGAAGAUGCUCUGCUCAAGUUUUUGCAGUCCAAGGAGAAUGUGACUGACACAAUUCUACAGGGAUCCACAAAGGUAGUUUUUCCACUUUACCUACUAUGAGUUUAUUCCUAAGAGGGUUUUAGGGUGAGAGGAAUGAUUAAACUCUCACAAGUAUGUAAGAGUCUGUCCCUCCUCUUUCUGGUACUCUGCUCUUAAUAUGUGUUCAGUAGGGAGAUAGAUGAGGAAAUUCGUAUCUUCAUUCUGGGACUCUGAUUCUCUUUCCUAUCACCUGUCACCCUGCUACCAAGUAGAGGAAGCUCACACCAGACUUCUCCAAUCACCACUCUUUCUCUCUUUUUCUGUGUGAGUUCCUUUGUAUAUUUGUGCUUGCUCAUGUAUGCACAUGGAUGUGAUGGCCACAGGUGUUCAAAUAUUCUUCCAUUAUUAUUGGAUUAAGGUCUCUUUAUUUCCAAGCACAGCCGGGUGAAACACAGGCCAGAGCUAGGUUAAGAACCCAGCCAGCGCAGCCAGAACAAAGAGAGAGCGCGGUCCCCACGUGCAGUCCUUUAAGAAGCCCCCUUCACGUCAUCCCGGCUUUCCUUCACCCCGCCCUUAUGGGCGAGUCCCCAGGUCCACCUGGUACCUGUCCCAGGACUAUUGGGCGGGGCUAGGGUGACUCCCUACAAUUCCCCUUUUAGUCUAAGAGAGGAUUAAAACUUAAUAGUGUAAAAUAUCCAAAACUAACAAUCAUAAGGGUGGAAUACAAGAAUAUACAAUAAUCUGCUAUGAUACAUCCUAUGUCUAUUCUAGCUAAGUCUUAAAGUCAUGUGGAAAAAGUGUCUGACUUGAACACCUUCUUCCAAUCCCAACUCUAAACAAUAAGAAGGUUAUUCUUAACUAGGCUUACACUACCCUAAUACACAAUAAUGGGGAACGGGGGCGUAGCAUCUUCUAGGUUACUUCCUGCUGAAAUGGGACGAAGAUGGUCAUGUGGGGGCCCUGUGGGAAAAAAAUGUCAGUAUCGGGAAAGUCUUUAAUGAGUUAUGUCUAGUCCAUGUUAGAUG